AUGCUUGCUUCUGCGGCAUAUAUACUAAAAUUGGAACAAUACAGAGACAAUUAACAUGGCCCCUGCACAAGGAUGACACACAAAUUUGUUUUUUUUUUUCUUUCUUU
rfam:Tupaia chinensis contig54575, whole genome shotgun sequence.